CAGUAGCCGCGGUAAUACAGAGGGUGCGAGCGUUAAUCGGAUUUACUGGGCGUAAAGCGUGCGUAGGCGGCUUUUUAAGUCGGAUGUGAAAUCCCUGAGCUUAACUUAGGAAUUGCAUUCGAUACUGGGAAGCUAGAGUAUGGGAGAGGAUGGUAGAAUUCCAGGUGUAGCGGUGAAAUGCGUAGAGAUCUGGAGGAAUACCGAUUGCGAAGGCAGCCAUCUGGCCUAAUACUGACGCUGAGGUACGAAAGCAUGGGGAGCAAACAGGAUUAGAUACCCCUGUAGUCCCUGUCUCUUAUAC
rnacentral:rRNA from 1 species